rnacentral:rRNA from 1 species
CCUACGGGAGGCAGCAGUGGGGAAUAUUGGACAAUGGGCGAAAGCCUGAUCCAGCAAUGCCGCGUGAGUGAUGAAGGCCUUCGGGUCGUAAAGCUCUUUUACCAGGGAUGAUAAUGACAGUACCUGGAGAAUAAGCUCCGGCUAACUCCGUGCCAGCAGCCGCGGUAAUACGGAGGGAGCUAGCGUUGUUCGGAAUUACUGGGCGUAAAGAGUACGUAGGCGGUUAUUCAAGUCAGAGGUGAAAGCCCGGGGCUCAACCCCGGAACUGCCUUUGAAACUAGAUAACUAGAGUCUUGGAGAGGUUAGUGGAAUUCCGAGUGUAGAGGUGAAAUUCGUAGAUAUUCGGAAGAACACCAGUGGCGAAGGCGACUAACUGGACAAGUACUGACGCUGAGGUACGAAAGCGUGGGGAGCAAACAGGAUUAGAUACCCUGGUAGUCCACGCCGUAAACGAUGAUAACUAGUUGUUCGGUCACUUGGUGACUGAGUGACGCAGCUAACGCAUUAAGUUAUCCGCCUGGGGAGUACGGUCGCAAGAUUAAAACUCAAAAUGAAAUUGACCGGNUGAGAGUUGCGAGAGACACGAGGAGAGG